rnacentral:misc_RNA from 1 species
AACGCACAUUGCGCCCGCUAGUAUUCUAGCGGGCAUGCCUGUCCGAGCGUCAUUUCAACCCCUCAAGCCCGGCUUGGUGUUGGGGCCCUGCGGCUGCCGCAGGCCCUGAAAGGAAGUGGCGGGCCCGCAGCGACUCCGAGCGUAGUAGAAUCCUAUUCUCGCUAGGGAGGCCGCGGCGGCGCCCCUGCCGUUAAACGCAUCACAGCACUCCAAAGGUUGACCUCGGAUCAGGUAGGAAUACCCGCUGAACUUAA